rnacentral:rRNA from 1 species
CGUAGGUGGCAGGCGUUGUCCGGAUUUAUUGGGUUUAAAGGGUGCGUAGGCGGUCUAUUAAGUCAGUGCUGAAAUAUCCCGGCUUAACCGGGAGGGUGGCAUUGAUACUGAUGGACUUGAGUGAAGUCGAGGUAGGCGGAAUUGACGGUGUAGCGGUGAAAUGCUUAGAUAUCGUCAAGAACACCGAUAGUGAAGACAGCUUACUAGACUUCAACUGACGCUGAGGCACGAAAGUGUGGGGAUCAAACAGGAUUAGAUACCCUGGUAGUCCACACUGUAAACGUUGAUGACUCGCUGUGUGCGAUAUACAGUACGCGGCUUAGCGAAAGCGAUAAGUCAUCCACCUGGGGAGUACGCCGGCAACGGUG